GCAUUCAUGGCUGAAUGGUUAAAGCGCUCAACUCAUUAUUGGUAAAUUUGUAGGUUCAAUUCCUACUGGAUGCA
rfam:Nicotiana sylvestris Nsyl_contig60394, whole genome shotgun sequence.